UGUAAACAUCCUACACUCAGCUGUAAUACAUAGACUGGCUGGGAGGUGGGUGUUUACU
rnacentral:pre_miRNA from 1 species